GGGCGGCGGUUCCAGUCGCCGACGCUUCAGGGCCAGGCAGUGCCGGCCGCUGCAGAUGAUGGAGGAGCAGUGAGCAUCACCGUGGCCUUGUGGAGCUCCAAAAGAUUAGUCGUGGACAUUCAGAAAACAACAAUUUCCUGAACAAUAACAACCAAAUGGUAUUGGACAUGAUCCUUUAUCCAUCAAUUGGAAUCCAUCAGACCAUCAACUGGGAAACUGUGGCAAGGCCUGUGCCUGGCUUAACACCCAAAGAAUGUGCAAAGAGGUUUGAUGAACUGAAGAGCCGUGGAAGUUCACCUGUCGACAACCAGUAUAGCCCCCUAAUGGCUGCUGGCGAGAGCCCUGUUGAAACUUUAGCCACCUGUAUCAAGUUCUCACUUCUUAACACACAGGGAGAAUUUCAGGAGACUCCAGUUGGUCAGGACGCAGCUUCUAAAACAGGCCAAACACGGUGAUCCAUGUAUGUGAUGAAGCCAAAAACUUGAAAGAUUUUAUUUGCUCAUGAGAUCUUUUGAUAUCAGAAAUGAAUUUCUUUGCUUAAUCUUUAUCUAUGGAUGCCCAGCGCUGGAAAGAGGUGAACAUUUCAGUUCAUUGUGACGUUCACAUUUCAACUGGUUGAUAAAAUAUGUUAAAAGGAGCACUAAGGAGAAUAAAGAUUGUGAGAUGCCCACUUUAGAGCCAAGAAAUGUCAUUUCAAUUCUUAUUUCUUCAGAGUUUUUGAAAAUGGAUUUAUUGCUGAUCUUCAACACAAUGAAGCUGACGACUUAAAGGACAAGAAAGAUAAGUUUAGGAGUAAACUUUUUUGUAAGAAGAUUGAAAGACUGCUUGAUCCUGAAUAUUUGAAUCCAGAUUCUCGGAAAAAUGCAGCAACAUUAUACAGAUGCAGUUUGUGUAAGAAGCUUUUAACAAAAGAAACAGAAAGAAUUCCUUGCAUUCCUGGAAAAAUCAACGUGGGUCAACGUGGAAAUAUUAUCUACAUUCACAUAAGUGAUAAGACUUGGGAUGUUCAUGAGUAUUUGAAUAGUCUUUUUGAAGAACUAAAAUCUUGGAGAGAUGUAUAUUGGUACUUGUGGGGAACAGUCAACUGGCUAACUUGUUCAAGAUGUUAUCAAGCUUUUCUCUGUACAGAAUUUUCACAUUGUCAGUAUCACUCAGAAACAGUGAUUUAUCCUACUGCAGGAAGUUCACUGAGUACCUUUGGCACUGGAAUUUAUCCCUGCUAUAACCAAAAGGUUCUUUGGUUCGACCCCACUCAGCUUACAAAGUAAGGGACCACAUGGUUGCUCUUCAUGAUCAAGGUGAGGGUAAAGAUUUGCUGUCUUGUCCAACUGCUAGAAUCCUGGACGAUCUGCACAAACACACAGAAGUCAUUCUUGCGCCUUUUGCUAAAGACACAGUUAGUGAUUCUGGGGUUGGUCUCCGUGAUGAAAAAGGUCUAGACUGUGAUGUUUUACUGGAACCAAAUACACCAUGGGGCCCCAAGAGUGGGGAGCUCAAAGCUUUCUUGUCACUGAAAAACUGGACUCUGCAACUGAAACAACAGUCAUUAUUUUCAGAAGAAGAAGAAUAUACCACUGGAUCUGAGGUCACUGAAGUUGAAGUUGGAGAUGAAGAAGAAGUAUCCAAGAAACAAAGGAAAAAGAAAAAGCCAAAGAAGUUCACUAAACAACCAAAAAAACAGAUGUCUUCACCCUGUGGUCAGAAGAAAGAAAAGGCAUUGGAGAAGUCAACUUCUAGAGAUGUGUCUCCUUUCACUGUGAGUAUGCAGAAGAAUAAGUGGGAUGCCACAAGAUCCUUGAGGUUCAAUCAAGAUGCACAAAGAGAAGAUGAUCAACGGCAGGUGUCUGAAAUUACCAGGCACCUAAUAAAGAUGAGAUUGGGUGACCUGGACCGAGUCAAGUCAAAAGAAGCAGAAGAAUUUGCAGGAGGCAUUUACUCCAGGUUUGAAGCACAAAUCAAGGCCUCAGUGCCAGUCACUGCACAGCAGAGCAGCUCAGAGAAAAGCACAAGGUCUAAAAGUCAUUUUGGUCAAGGUCGUCCUGUGUAA